CCUACGGGAGGCAGCAGUGGGGAAUAUUGCUCAAUGGGGGAAACCCUGAUGCAGCAACGCCGCGUGAGUGAUGACGGCCCUAGGGUUGUAAAGCUCUGUCUUCAGGGACGCUAACGACCGUACCUGAGGAGGAAGCCACGGCUAACUACGUGCCAGCAGCCGCGGUAAUCCGUAGGUGGCGCGCGUUGUCCGGAUUUACUGGGCGUAAAGGGAGCGUAGGCGGAGUUUUAAGUGAGAUGUGAAAUACUCGGGCUCAACUUGAGUGCUGCAUUUCAAACUGGAGGUCUAGAGUGCAGGAGAGGAGAAUGGAAUGCCUGGUGUAGCGGUGAAAUGCGUAGAGAUUAGGAAGAACACCAGUGGCGAAGGCGGUUCUCUGGACUGUAACUGACGCUGAGGCACGAAAGCGUGGGGAGCAAACAGGAUUAGAUACCCUAGUAGUC
rnacentral:rRNA from 1 species